rnacentral:rRNA from 1 species
CAAUAGCGUAUAUUAACGUUGUUGCAGUUAAAAAGCUCGUAGUUGGAUUUCUGGAGGGAGCGUCGGCCCGUAUUUACGAGUGCGUGACGGCUCUGUCCAUCCUUGCGGGAAGGCACGGCAUUGAUUUGUUGUGUCGGAUCGCAUCAUUUACUGUGAAAAAAUUAGAGUGUUCAAAGCAGGCUUUCGCUUGAAUACAUUAGCAUGGAAUAAUAAGAUAGGACUUUGGUGCUAUUUUGUUGGUUGAGCCUAAAGUAAUGAUUAAUAGGGAUAGUUGGGGGCACCUGUAUUGCGUUGUCAGAGGUGAAAUUCUUGGAUUUACGCAAGACAAACAGCUGCGAAAGCGUCUGCCAAGGAUGUUUUCAUUA